rnacentral:rRNA from 1 species
GACGAACGCUGGCGGCGUGCUUAACACAUGCAAGUCGAACGGAAAGGCCCUGCUUUUGUGGGGUUCUCGAGUGGCGAACGGGUGAGUAACACGUGAGUAACCUGCCCUUGUCUUUGGGAUAACUUCAGGAAACUGGGGCUAAUACCGGAUAGGAGCUCCUGCUGCAUGGUGGUGGUUGGAAAGUUUCGGCGGUUGGGGAUAGACUCGCGGCUUAUCAGCUUGUUGGUGGGGUAGUGGCUUACCAAGGCUUUGACGGGUAGCCGGCCUGAGAGGGUGAACGGCGACAAUGGGACUGAGAUACGGACCAGACGCCUACGGGAGGCAGCAGUCGGGAAUAUUGCACAAUGGGCGGAAGCCUGAUGCAGCGACGCCGCGUGCGGGAUGACGGCCUUCGGGUUGUAAACAGCUUUCGCAUGUGACGAAGAGUGAGUGACGGUAAUUGGUAAAGAAGCACCGGCUAACUACGUG